rnacentral:rRNA from 1 species
UACAGAGGUCCCAAGCGUUGUUCGGAUUCACUGGGCGUAAAGGGCGCGUAGGCGGUCUUCUAAGUCCUGUGUGAAAUCCCUCGGCUCAACUGAGGAACUGCACGGGAUACUGGAAGACUUGAGUUCGGGAGAGGGAAGCGGAAUUCCGGGUGUAGCGGUGAAAUGCGUAGGUAUCCGGAGGAACAUCAGUGGCGAAGGCGGCUUCCUGGACCAGAACUGACGCUGAGGAGCGAAAGCGUGGGGAGCGAACAGG